UACGUAUGGUGCAAGCGUUGUUCGGAAUUACUGGGCGUAAAGAGCGCGCAGGCGGAUUGUUAAGUCGGGUGUGAAAUCCCGGGGCCCAACCCCGGGGCUGCAUCCGAAACUGGCGAUCUGGAGUCCCGGAGAGGCAGGCGGAAGUCUCGGUGUAGCGGUGAAAUGCGUAGAUAUCGAGAGGAACACCAAUGGCGAAGGCAGCCUGCUGGACGGUGACUGACGCUGAGGCGCGAAAGCGUGGGGAGCAAACAGG
rnacentral:rRNA from 1 species